rnacentral:lncRNA from 1 species
GCCAUAGAAUCUUGUCGACAUAAAAGAAAUGACUUAACCUACCAAGGAACUGGUAUAAAAUGAAGGCCAACCUAAUGCUGUGUGGUGCUGGGGAACAACCCUGUUCUGGGAAAGCUAACAAGCAAUACAGAACAGUCCAGAAUAAAAUGAAGUUCACUUUAGAGGUGUUUCCAUCAAUCAACAAUGAUCUCAGUGGAGAAGCAGGACACAUUUAUGAAUCAGAAUCGGACAAGAUUCUCAAACUGCCAGUGUGUGUCUCUGCCUCCACUAUUACCUGCCUACAGAGAGCACACGAUGCACUCAGACGCUUAUUACUGUGGAUGGGAGGAAGGAACAGAGGGUGCAAGUGUUUCAAAAAAAAUCGAACUUUAAGCCACAGGCUGAAGGAUCAGAUGUCCAGAAGUGGGGUAGAAGGCUUUUCUGAAACUUGGGAAUAUGAAUUCUCUUCCUUCUCUGCAAGAUGCUGUAGCUUUGAUUCUUCAGAAGAUGUGUCAUCUGGAGUAGCACCUGCAGCAUCAGGAACAUAG